rnacentral:rRNA from 1 species
CCUACGGGGGGCUGCAGUGAGGAAUAUUGGACAAUGGGCGCAAGCCUGAUCCAGCCAUGCCGCGUGCAGGAUGACGGUCCUAUGGAUUGUAAACUGCUUUUGCACAGGAAGAAACAACGCUACGUGUAGCGUCUUGACGGUACUGUGAGAAUAAGGAUCGGCUAACUCCGUGCCAGCAGCCGCGGUAAUACGGAGGAUCCAAGCGUUAUCCGGAAUCAUUGGGUUUAAAGGGUCCGUAGGCGGUUUAGUAAGUCAGUGGUGAAAGCCCAUCGCUCAACGGUGGAACGGCCAUUGAUACUGCUAGACUUGAAUUAUUAGGAAGUAACUAGAAUAUGUAGUGUAGCGGUGAAAUGCUUAGAGAUUACAUGGAAUACCAAUUGCGAAGGCAGGUUACUACUAAUGGAUUGACGCUGAUGGACGAAAGCGUGGGUAGCGAACAGGAUUAGAUACCCAAGUAGUC